CGUAGCCGGCCUGAGAGGGUGGAACGGCCACAUUGGGACUGAGACACGGCCCAGACUCCUACGGGAGGCAGCAG
rnacentral:rRNA from 1 species